rnacentral:rRNA from 1 species
AUUGAACGCUGGCGGCAGGCCUAACACAUGCAAGUCGAGCGGAUGAAGGGAGCUUGCUCCUGGAUUCAGCGGCGGACGGGUGAGUAAUGCCUAGGAAUCUGCCUGGUAGUGGGGAUAACGUCCGGAAACGGGCGCUAAUACCGCCAUCGUCCCGAGGGGGAAAGUGGGGGGGUUUUGGGACCCAAGCUUUCCAAUGAGCCUAGGUCGGGUUAGCUAGUUGGUGGGGUAAAGGCCUACCAAGGCGACGAUCCGUAACUGGUCUGGGAGGAUGAUCAGUCACACUGGAACUGAGACACGGUCCAGACUCCUACGGGAGGCAGCAGUGGGGAAUAUUGGACAAUGGGCGAAAGCCUGAUCCAGCCAUGCCGCGUGUGUGAAGAAGGUCUUCGGAUUGUAAAGCACUUUAAGUUGGGAGGAAGGGCAGUAAGUUAAUACCUUGCUGUUUUGACGUUACCAACAGAAUAAGCACCGGCUAACUUCGUG